CUAUUUUUUAAAUGAUUAUUUAAAAAACUAAACUAAUUUAAGAGUUUAUGUAAUUGUAGUACUGAAAAAUUAUUUUUAUUACUAGUUUUGAUAGAUUGUUUUUACCUCAUAUUUGGUAUAUGCCAAAACAGCAAGUCAGCCCUUAUAAAAUAAAUUCUUUUUUAAAAAAACCCACAAAUGCCAUUUUUAGUUAUUACUAUGUUUUUCCUUCUAAAGACACUCAUGAAAGUGGGACAAAGAAAAGUAGUCCUGUAAAACUUUUUUUGAAAAAAAAAAUUAAAUAAGUUACUAAAGUUAUACUGGAUAAACUGCAAAGGUUUUUCUCAAGUGGCUAGUCAGAGUUUACUGGCAAAAUCAAAGGAGGAAGACUAGUUUUGAGCAUUUAGUUCAAUUUUUACUUUUAAAAUAAAACAACGCUCUUUGAUACUAAAUUCAUCAGGGAUAAGUACCAAAGUCCACACACUAGCUAUAUCACUAAUAAGGGCUGUGUUUUUCAGGUUGGUGAAGUUGGGUGGGAAUGGGUCCAGUCUUUCUUAUUCCAUCCACCCCUUUGGAUGAGCUGUGAUUCCUCCUCUCUGUGUGUACACGUUCUCUUAUCUCGCCAGUUCAUUCCGUACUUUGCACCACUCACUGGUCUGUAUUUUUUUCUCAUGUGUCUUUUUUCAGGGAUGCCUACUGAAGCUAUUGUCAGUGUUAAAUAGCUUAAUACCUGUGUAGAAGCACAGGAAGUAUGACUAAGAGGUGCCCCUCUCAAGUUCCCUUUGAAUGGUUGUGUUGGUCAUGGUUUCUGUUGCUGUGAUGAAACGCCGUGACCAAAAGCAGCUGGAAAGAGAGUUGACGUUGCUUAUACUUCCGCGUAACGAGUAGUCCAUACUGAGGGGAUUCAGGGCAACAACUGAAGCAGGCUCAAACCUAUAGGCAGGCACUGAUGCACGGGCCAUGGGGGAGUGCUGCUUACUGACUAGCUCUGUGGCUUGCUCAGUUAGCUUUCUCGUUAGUACCCAGGACACCAGCCCAAGGAGUGGCACCACUUACAGUGAUCUUGACCCUCUCCAUCAGUCACUAGUUAAUCCACUGUAGGCUUGUUUGCAGCAGCAUCUUAUGAUACAUUUUUCCCAGUUGGGGUUCUCCCGUCUCAGAUGACUCUAGCUAGGGUCAGGUUGUCAUAACACUAGCAGGCACAGUGGUAGAAGCUGUCUCUUGUCCUGUGUGUGUGCAGAAUGCAAGCAAUGAUUGCAGAGAUAAGCCCAGCCAUCGAGUUUGGCAUGUUCUCUCAUGCUUGGUUAUGUGUGUUGCGGGUUGAGGGACAGAAGGAAAGGCAAACCUCUCCUGCCUGGCUCCGGUGGACACUGCAGUAGCGUUAAGAGAAAAGAAAUGGACUUUUACUCGAGCAUCAUGGCCCUAUUAAGUAGCAGACUGCUGAGCUGGGUGGCACUUAGGAAACCCAGGAAAACUCCUACUGACCCCAGUACAUAGAUCUUGCUCUCUUGGGGGAAAGUUGUUUUUACUAUCUUAUAAUAUUUACAUAAUAAUAUACUUACUAUUGUGAAAAUAAUUCCACAGCCUUCUAUAUACAAAGCAUAUUUUGAAUCAUUAAAUACCUCAGAUUCCACCUGGACCUCUAUAGGGAAAACCAUUACAGGAUGUGUAGGUCCUCUGAGAUUGAGAAGUGACACAAAUGACAUGCGGUUCCUGUGGCUGCACCCUGUCUUGACUCAGUCUUACCUUUUCUUCUUGGCAUCCUUUUUAGUGUCCCCAGUAAUAGGGCUUAUCUUUGCUAUAGUAUGUGUCAGGACACAGCAUAGGCUAUGCCUUAUGAACCUCAGCUAAAUUUUUAUAGCGCUUCAUGCCUUUUUAUCUCCUACUCAGCCUCUUGAUCAUCUAGGUGUCAGCUGCCUUCUAAGGCUCAGCCAUGCCUUCCCAAAGCCGUGGACUCCUCUAAUAUACUGUGGUUGCAUCUUCUUAGUACGUUGGAAGUAGGGAGUAAAAAUGCAAAUAUCUAAAAGAUCCCGUUUCUGUGUGGGUUUUGUGUGCUACAUUUUUUCUGAAAUUAGCAUUUUCAAGUGUUCAUUCACAGGACUUAAGAUUUCCCUGUAACUUUUCCCUUAAUGUUUGGCAUUUACCCUCACUAGCAAGCCACUGUCUUUGACCAAGUGAAUUCAUUCAGUAGAGAAAAAAAAUGUCUAAUUUAGGGGCUUUUUUAGUCAUACUCGUCUACACAUUAUAUAUAUACAUACAUAUAUAUAUAUGUAUAUAUAUAUAUUGCUGUUAAAAGGAAAAGAGGGUUUAGACUGACACGUUGUGUCUGAUUUUACUCCUGUGUAUCAAGAAAUCUACUGACAUACAACAGGCAGUAAGAUCUGUGAUCUUCGCCGUAACCCUGUUCUUGUUUUAAAAGUCUUUAUUUUGGUAAUUGCAAUGCCAGAUUAUAUCAUAUGGCUUGCACAUCAUAAGGACUUAGUAGCUAUUUAUUAAUGAUUACGAGCUCUUUGAAGAAGGGAAAGAUUGCCUUUGCUCAUGAAUGAUGGAAUAAUGAUGAGGAAAUUAAUGAGUUAUAAGGGAGUGAUAGCGGCUAGCUCUGUAAUUCCUAAGGAGCGCUCCCAUGUGUAAAGUCGGUGAGAUUAGAGCUGCUGUCUAUUCCUUUGCUUAGAUUUGCUAACGCUCAGCCGUGAGAUGGGGCUUUGGACUUCUCUUAGCCAUUCUUUGUCUACAGUAGCAUUCUCAAGUCAGUGCCAUCCACUUCAUGAGAACAUUGUUUUCUUUCACUGAUGCUGUGGGAGAGCAGAUCGUGCACACAGCACCAGAGGCACAUUCAAUGAUUCUUGGGUUUUAGAGACUUCUUGAUCUGUAUUUAUACAGGCCUCAGCCCAAUCCCCAACUUGAACUGCGGACCUUGUAGGUACUCCUUGAACCUGUUUGAGUCCUUUUUUAAGCCUGAGGGUUUUAUACCGUCUUAGAAGCUUUGGGCCCAGACCAGUCACAUUUCUUACUCUUAGGGCACAGCUCUGACUUAAGCUAAUCAUGACAUUAGUUCUUUCUCUUUGUUUUUGCCGGUGCUGAGUCUCAAGCUCAGAUUUAUUGUCACUCAUAGAAUUAAAUGUGUACAGAUUAUCACCAGAAGCCACUUAUAGUUUCAAAUAAGGGCUAUGUAACAUACAGUGUAAAAGCAAACUUUUGAGUUUAUGUGUGGUCUAUAGCAAGCAUAUGUGACAGACAAUGUCAUUUCAGUAAUGUUCAGCUCCUCUCUGUUCACAUUAUGUGUGUGUGUCUGCGUACAUGUGGAUGUGUGCGUAUAACAUUCUACAUGUUCUCAGUCUUGCAAUUUUCCCUUAUUCAGCACAAGAUGGUGUCUGGGAAGAUUCAGCUGUAAAAUGAAUAGUGAAUGAUCUAUCCCCCCUUUUUUUUUCUCCAAAACCUUUUUUUGGGUUUACUGUUAUUUUUCCUUCUAGAAAUUGUACCUUAAAAUUUUUUAAAUGCUUUAUUCUAAAGUUUUUUAACAUUGUAAAAACCAUAUCUUUGUCUUAAAUGAAACUGCAAACCCAACCAAUGUGUUUGUUCCCUCACCUGUGACACACACAUAGUUUGUAAUGAGCUCCUGCUUUUAUUAGAGAAGCACAUUGGGGUACCAGGAAUUUUCACAAACUCAGAUUCAUAGAAGCAGUGAGUAAGAAAAAACUAUCCCAAGAAUUCCACAUACUGUCGUACAGUGUCGUCUUUCAAAAACUGUACAUUGUGUUAACUUGAGUGCCUUUCUAACUGUGGUACAAGUUAUCUUAUACUGAACUCUUGUGUUUAGGUAGUAAAAAGUGUAAACAUUUUAUCGGCUCAUUGUGUUGCAGUGAGAUAGACUGACUGGAGAAGACCUUUUGAUUUAUAGUUCAUUAAUUGGCAAUUUUUAUGUACUCUACAAAGAAUACCAAAAGUUAGAAUUCAUUCUGUCUGUCUGACAGCAAACGUUUUGACUUUUGGAGGCAUCAUAAUUGAAGGGCGGUGUGUGCAUAAUUAAAGACACAUGAAAGCUAUGCAGCUGUGCUUGAAGGGAAGCAGGCACCCCAGGCACUGCCAAGAGAGAAAGCGGGUGUUGUCCCAGGGGGAAAUGGGACUGGCUAAUACCAAAAGAAAAGGUGAAUUUCAAUUUCUAUGAAUUUGUGUGUGGAAGGGAAGGCCUGUCAUAGUUAAUGAUAGCAUAUAGUUGUCAUCUUGAUUUCUUAAAAAUAUGUAGUAAAUAUUCCAAAGUGCUUUGCAGAGAAUUGUUGAAUAAUACAUCUCUAUGUUGUGUUCAUAAUUGAGGUAGAAACCAGUGUAUCCUGUGUGGCUUUAGGGUGGGAGGAAUUCUCAGGCUCCCAAUGUCUUGACCCUCUCAGGCCAUUCCCAUCCCCGUCACCACGGAACAACUAGAGGCUGUUGGUUUAAAAAGAAAGGGCAGCUAAGUUGAUCUGCUGAUGAAACCGUGCUUCAAAAGAUGUUAGCUGUACGUAGUUCAUGCUUUCUGAACACAAGCGUGAGCCACAGAGCUGACCCUGAUGUUUAUUAGUCUGUUGUUAAUCUCAAAGUGUAGAAGAUUUAAUCAAUUUAGAACAACAUUUUAUAUUCUUUGGCCAAAAAAGAAAAGGCAAAAUAUUGCUUGUUACUAAUUGUUAGCUCUGAGUGUGCGAAAUCUAAUAUGGACCAUCUUGCUGCUUGUCCUGUAGUUGUAUUAAGGAUGUUAUCAUAAAUGUUGCUGUGAAGAGAACGUCUGUGUUCUGUCUCCACUGUGGGGAUGUGGAGGAGAUUAUAUUUUGUUUCAGUUGAUGUUCUCAGCCUUUAAAAAUUGUAUUGAGGAAAAUAGUCACUGUUGUUUUGCAAACCAACAGCUUUUUUGCUUCCUAAAACUUCUUUUUCUCUGCAAGUGUGAGAUGCAAGACAGACAGGUUCAGGGCAUCACAUAAUGCUGUGCGUACUGUUGGAGAUUAACAAGUCAGAACUGAUAAAUGCUGGAGGAGGAGGAGUAUUAGCAUAGCUCUAUGUUAACGUUGCCCACAUUUAGGUAAACUAUACGAUUUUGUAAGAAAUGCACAUGUUUAAAUAUACAAGGCAAGAUAUACCAUUGUAUAACAUUGCAACCAAAGUCGAGGUUCUUUUUAAGUCUAAAUAUGUGAGCGUACAUGUGUGUGCACACGUGUGCAUGCACAUUCACACAUUUAACAAGAUCUAGAGCUUAGGCUUACAUGAUUUUUUUUUACACAGAAGAUUUUUAUGCAAUGAAUUUUUAUUUUCCUAUUAGCUCAAAAUAUUUUAAUUUAAGGCAAUUUCUUGACAGACAGCCUCCUCCAGUAAAGUUGGAAACUGACACAGGUUCAUUUGCCGUAUUUAAAUAUUUGUGAAAACUGAUUAGGUAUUUGGUGGUUUGUAUGUUUAUAUGUUAUUCUGUCCUUUUCCCAUAUUGUUAAGGAUUCAGCCUUCAUUUCAUGCCUAGCAAUCAGUUUCCUAAAAGCACCGAGCAGCAUGCAACAGACACUCUGCUCAUAUUUACAAAGUGAUGCAUGAAACAUCUGAGGUUGGUGUAAUGUGUCCUGGGAUGUAUACUAAUACCGACUCAGAGGACACUCCAGCACUCCCCUAGAAACCACCGUUUGCCCCCACAUCCAAUGUCAUGUAUUUAAGGCAGGUGGCUUUCUGUUGGUUAAAGAAGUGGUGUAGAUGGAGUGCAGACAUUCACUAAGUCCUUAGCUAUUGCUCUAACAUCAGACUAAAGAGCUCACCCAGGAGACAGUGCCCUCUCUUCACUGAGGAAUAUAUGUUUAUAGAGUGAUAUGUUAGACAGUGAAAAAUGUUGCUGCAUGACGUGAAUUAUUACACUUGUUUGUUUAGGCUGGUGUUAGAAACAUAAUAAAGGUACUAUUUAAUAGACUCGUUACAUGAAAACAAGAGUCGGAAAAGUCUAAGCAGUAUCUCCCUAUACAAGGCACAUUUAAUAAAUGUCUCUGAGUGUCAGCAGCCGAAGAGCCUCGCUGUCUUCCACAGCCCAUUUAUAUAUUGGCACAUCCAGUACUUUGUAGCGGAGGUUUUCCAUUUCUCUCUAAUUCUCAGUGGCUCUGCAUUGUCUUAAAAGUGAUAAUGAUAACAUGGGAAGUUAGGCUGAGUAACUUCAUACCAUUUCCUCAGAAUAUAUUUGACACAAGGAAGAUUUUUUUUUUUAAAUCAAUGGCAUUGUAGUUUAGGUACCUAUUGUGGGUUGACCUGAUGCAAAUGAUUAAACAGUUUUUAAACAGACAUUCCUACUUGAACUGUGAGGAACCAAGCGGAGUGCAAGUGUCAUUAGGCCUUGCCUUCUGGUGGGCAUGCUGAUGCGUGAUCGUGUAUGGGGAUAGUCAGCUUUGUAUUUUUGCUGUAUUUUGUUCUAGGAGAGUAGCAGAGUGUACACUAGACUAGAUCACAUCACUGUUUCUGAGCUGGAGACAAAAAAGUGAGGUGUCUAAGUAUUCCAAAUAUUUAUACUGCUAUGAAAACUAAGAGGAAGACUUUUCAAAAGUACAGAAAUGGCUUUUUCUAAACUCGAGUGUUUGUGUGCUAGUUAAUUGCUUAAUUUAAAAACAUUAUAAAAUUGGGGGACUUUCACUGAAGAAAAAGAUCUCAGAUACUAUAUUCUACUAUCAGAAUUCACCAUGGGUGAUAGUUUACAUUGCUUGUAGAUUUUCCUAAAAGCAUUCAGUGGGCUGUAGUUAACAUUGGACACGGUAGUGUAAUCAUGGUACACUGUAAUAUCCCAGACAUUAAAUAUUAGUGUGGCUAGCUGUUUCACUGGAAACAACUGUCCUCAUUGAUAGAUACCACUUUGCCAGGAAUGACAGUCUGUAUUGAAAUUCCCUUAGCUCUUAAGAAUAGCAAUCCAGAGUUUUAAAAGGAUUAAAUCUCUAAAUUCUUUACAGUUAAAAGUGUGUAUCUUGGAGGGGAAUAAGAAAAACUUUUGUAAAAAGGUAUGUGCAAAGUACACUUGUGGUAUUUUGGGGUUUAGUACCCCAGCUGAAUAAAUUAUGCUAAAUCCUAAGGUUAUCACUUGUACUUUUGGCUAAGAUUAAAUGUAAAUUCUGAGGUUAACAUAUCAUGUAUUGUCUAUAGCUGGGUGCUCAGUGGAAAUGUAAUGUGAGCCCCAAGGGUAUUAUUAUUUUCUAAGAGCAAUCUAAUUAACUUUUAAUAAUAUAUCUUAUUUAACCUAAUCUUUUAAAACACUCUUUCAACAAUAAUCAAUGUAACAAAAUUAAGGAGCCAUCUCUCUCCUUUUUCCUUUUAGAUUAGUCUUCACAAUUCACUGUGUGGCUUGCAGUCCUGCCGCCCUCCACUGCAGCCAUGUUCCAUGCUCUCAGGCUCCACAUGUGGCUAGGGCAGCAGCGCAGAUUCAUAGGGCACAAAGUAUGGAUCUGUUUAAAUUUGGGCGUGACAAAUAGACAUGAAAUUUCGGUCCUUUAAGGAUUAUUUAGAAAGAAAUCUAAUGAAGUUUUCCUUCAUUUUAAGUUAACUUUGCUCUAGAAAUGUGGGUCAACCUGAUCCAGUUUGCCAAGCAUUAUUUGAAGAAGAAAUCCUGUGCCAUGUAUAAUACCACUGGGACUGUCACAGAGUACUGACAGUGCACUAGUGGCAGUCCUCCAUCUUCACUAACGUCUGUCCUGUUUCUUCAGAAUGCUAGCUUGAGUUGCACACUUACUGUCCCUGUUUGUUUCCAUUAUUCUUGUUCUAGAAUGAUGUAUAUUGAGCAGCAGCUCUAGGUUUCUAAUCUGUGCAGCUGUCUGCCAGGACAUAGUGGUGCACCUAUUAAAUUGUGAUGAACGGCACAGAAAUAGGUUGAACCAUUUCUUUUCCCAUUAGACUUGUUUUUUUUUAACAUGUGGCCAUGUACCAAACCAGCUGUAAAUUACUGUACUUCUGUAGAAUAUGGAAACGGUGUUGUCUUUGAUGAUGUCUGAGUAAACAUUACCUCUCCUAAAACAAGCGCUAUGUGUGUUUUAUCUGCAUGUAUGUUAAACUUGGCUGUGUCUGUCUGUCUGUCAAGAUGCCCAGCUGACUGCUUUGAUGGUGUUAGGUGGAUGAAGUCAUGCGUUAAAAUCUACGUGUUUAGUAUCAAAGUACUCGUCACAAAAGACUUCAUAUUUCUGGGAGUAACUAUGCCCAGUGAAAGGUCUGCCUCCUAUCUCAGGAGCUAGUGGGCUGUCAUGUUUUGAUGUUUUUAAAGUUGCUAGUGGUCUAAGCAGACACAAUUUUGAAAGAACCUUAGAAGAUCAUUUAAUAAAUGGGGUUGGUAAACCCAUUAGUCACCCAUUUGUAAUUUUACCCUCUACUUUGGUCCCUCGGGGGGAAAAUUUCCAGUUCUCUGAAGACAUCUGAUUUGUGUCUGUUAUAUGCUGUGUUUUCAUUAAUCCAGUGAUGCCACGGGGAGAAAACUGAAAGCAUUCUGUAUAGCACUUCCUGCAGGAGGGAAUCACAAAAACCAACAGUGGCUUGGGUAAUCUGCUAAGAGUGCGCAUAAUCACGUGGAAAAUAGCCCACAGUCUAUUUAACUUGUGGAGUGAGUGAUAAAGCUAUAUGUAAAGUAACGUCCUAGUUUUCUAAAACGAGUUUUAAAUUUUUCUUUCCAGUCAUUACAGAACUGAGUGAAAAGGAGCAAAAUUAUUGGAGAAAAAAAAAAUAGUUGUUUUUUUUUAAAGUAGUGUUAAGUAGGAAAUCCUACUUAAACCAGAACACUGAUGGAAAAGGUCUUCACCGUAGCUAAAAUAAGGAUUAAACAGAGAGAGAGAGAGAGAGAGAGAGAGAGAGAGAGAGAGAGAAGAGGGGUGUGGGGGACGGAGAACCACUUGUGAACAGGAACAUUGAAAUUAUUCAUGUGCUUGAGAUAAUGGAAGUUAUUGAUAAUCAAGAAUUAUAUGUAAAAAAUGUUGAGGACUGUAGGUAAAAACACACAUGUCCACGCUCAUGUGUGUACAUGUGUAUACACUCUGUGUAUGCAAACAGUUCUGCUCAGGUAAAGCCUUAGAAUUAGAUUCUGACAUCUAAGAAGGUAAAGAAGGCAGGGGCUGAGGGGUGGCUCAGCAGCCAAGACCUCACUGAGCUCGAUUCCCAACACCAGCGCAGGACAGACCACAGCCAUCUGUAGUUCCAGCCCAACGGGAUCCCUCUCUGCACAGAGACACUCGUGUGCACACAUCCUACAGACUUAAGCAUGUACGUGCAACUAGAAGUCAAAUGUUAAAAUCCUGAAGACGGUGGAACCCUGGCCACGAUCAGAAUAAGGUGAGAAAUGCAGAGGUAGCUGUCUGGGUUCUUGUUUUCCUUUUCAACCCGUGCAGUAAAAACACCUUCACAUACACACAGGGGCAUGUAUAGCACUUCUCUGAUUAUUAAGUGAGAGAACACUGAAGAAAUCAGGGUACCCUAUUCAUGAUUAGAAAAUACAGACACUAUUUUUCCAUUGUGGAUCUAUAGAUUCAAUACUGUGUCAACUCCAGUGGUUUUCUUUCACAGACAUUGGCAGGUUAUAUGGAAACGUGGGUGUGUUCACUAUCUUGUGGUAUUGCUUUCACAGAUAUAUUUGUAAAGGCUUAUUAACUGUGGUAUAUAUGUUUGGUUUCAUUUAUCAUAUGUCAAUUGUACUGUAAAGCUGGUAAAAAAAUAAUAUAAAUAUUCUAUUGAUAAUAGUUUGUAAAAUGGG
rnacentral:lncRNA from 1 species